rfam:Gossypium hirsutum cultivar TM-1 chromosome 4, whole genome shotgun sequence
AAUCCAUGAUGAGGACACCUUCUCAGAAGAUCCUUAAAUCUCUCUCAUACAUUGUACAGUGUCUUAAGUUCAAAUUGAGUAAAAGAAGAUAUAUCAUUCCUCAACCU